AGAAAUACAUCAACUUAGGGAAAGUGGUAUUACAUCUGUGAGUCAUUAUGGAGUAUAAGACAACAAAAUAUCAGGAGACCGUCCAUUGAGAACCCCCCCACCCACCCCCCAGUGAUGGAUGGAGUUAGGCGACAGCACAGAGCAACGCAACAGUCCAAGACAGGAAGAGGAAGAGAGGGGUUGCUGAGCUGAGGGGGAGCUGGAGGAGGAAGAGGAGGAGGAGGCGUGUUUGGAUGAAAGGAGCGGUGAUGGCUGAGCAGGCCUGGACUUGCCACAUUCGGUCUCGAACGGUGUGCAGGUUGAGGCUCUCCGCCAGCUCAGAGGCCGAUAUGGCUGUCAUCAAGUCCUGCUUGUUGGCGAAGAUGAGCAGCGGCACGCCGGCCAGCUCGUCCUCUUCCAGCAACUCGGACAGCUCCUGGAGUAAAUAAUCCUGUCAACUCAACAGCGGUACAGUGGGAUUAAAUGAAAGAUGGCUCCAUGCGAUACGCAGCAUUGCUAUUGGUCCAACACCUGCCAAAUAUACUGACUAUUUGGGCGUAUUGAAUGUCAUGUAUCUCUUUGUACACUGGAAUUAUGACAGCUUUACAGAUUGAAGUUUUUGAAUCUUUGAACGGUGCCAAGGAAAAAUCCUGUUCCGGUUAAAGUCCAUUAAAAAGCAGCAGCAACAGCAAUUGCAGAACUUGAGUCAGAUUGUGGGAAAUGUAAUUUCUUCCUUCAGGGGAGCAGAAUAUUUGUUGCACCGUUUGAACAUGGUGUUUUUUUUCAUGUUUAAAGUACAUGCAUACAAAUCUAUUACAAUAACAAGAAAGGAGAAUAGCAGGUUGGGAUUAGUAUUUAUGUCAGCCCAUGUAGGCAUCGGACAUAAAAAGUGGACGAUUUCUGGGAAAAUAUGCCUCUAAAGUUGAACAAAGUUCAAGUUCAAAUCCCAUGCGACUUCAGCUCACUGAGCUAUCAUUGAUGGCAACGACCAAACGACUGGGCUGUGACAUAAAGGAAGCUGUGGACGCUCCCCAGGACCAAAUAGCAUGAUACUACGAACU